AUAAUGACAGAGGUUGUUAAAGGGCAUCAAAAAAUUUGAAUUAUUUAUCUUAUUCAUUAAAAAAAAUAGGUUAAAAUUGAGGUUAGGUUUACCUCCCCAAACGCCAAGAUUAAGCUGUUUGGUGUCUAAAUUUUCGAUGUAAUCCCCCAAUACCGAAUUUAGGACCUGAUUUAGAACCGCGAUGAAACAACUGUCUUCUACGCCGAACUGAACAAUAAUACUAAAAAAUAAAACCUGAAAUAGCUAUCGUCGUACGACC